UGAGGAAUAUUGCGCAAUGGGGGCAACCCUGACGCAGCAACGCCGCGUGAGUGAGGAAGGUUUUCGGACCGUAAAGCUCUGUCGAGCGGGAAGAAAUGUAUCGUGGCUAAUAUCCAUGAUAUUUGACGGUACCGCUAAAGGAAGCACCGGCUAACUCCGUGCCAGCAGCCGCGGUAAUACGGGGGGUGCAAGCGUUGUUCGGAAUUAUUGGGCGUAAAGAGCGUGUAGGCGGCUGAAUAAGUCAGAUGUGAAAUCCCUGGGCUUAACCCAGGCCGGGCAUUUGAAUCUCUUCAGCUUGAGUCUCGGAGAGUCAAGUGGAAUUCCUGGUGUAUCUGUGGCAUUCGUAGAUAUCAGGAGGAACACCGGUGGCGAAGGCGACUUUCUGGCCCUAUACUGACGCUGAGACGCGAGAGCGUGGGUAGCAAACA
rnacentral:rRNA from 1 species